CUUAUUUGUAAAUUAUUGGUUACAAAUGUUUAACAAUAGGAAAUAUUCAAGAAUAAAUAAAAUAAAAGUUUAAUCCUAACAACACAAAACAUUCCAGGAAUGUAGGUACUACCGUUCUAUUCCGUGAACAUCUAUCUGAUUAAAUUAUGGGUGGAAAGUUACCACAAGAUAUUCUAUGAACAUAGUACAAUGUCUUCCUGGAGGGGUAAAAUUUUCCAUUACAAGAUUUUAAGAGAGGCCAUUUACUAUUCAAUUUGCGUUCAUUUUCAAAUUUGCCGCGCGAGUAUCUAUGUAGCGUCGCGUGGUCAUUGGCAUUCAUUGGUCAUCACAUUUCAUAUAUUUAUUUCAUUUUCAUGGAUAACCGAUAACCUAAAAAUUUAGUAAAAAUUUUGAUUGGAAAAAAAUGCAUCGAUAACUGUCGAUAAGGGGGUGUGGGAAAUGGAAAUUAGUGGCUUUUUUGCUGUACUGUCUGCUAGUUUUUGCUCUGGACUCUGGCUGGAUCUCUUGUUUAAACAAUUUUAAUCGGCUGAAAGUGGUCUACAAAAAAAAAACCAAGGAGGAAAUGUAUAGCCUUGUGGCUAUGAAAGGCAAAAGAGAGAUAUAAAAAGUGUAUUGGCUAGUUGGAAGAAAGUCCACAUUGUCCAUGCAUAAUAAGUUAUUACUUUAUCAACAAAUAUCAAGAAGAUAGCAGGAAUAAGUCACGAGCAACAACUUCAUAAGUUCAAGAAUAUUGAGGAAAUCCAGCUCCUCGAUACUACUGGGCAAACUAGAAGAUUGAAGAGGACAAAGCCUUUUGAACUAGUUUGAGUGAUAGGUGAUAGUGAAAAACGGAGCAUAGUGCUUGUGUGCUGUGCCUGUGUAUGUUAGAAUAGUGCACGAUCUUGUUAGAUUAGAUAAGAGACGCUAUGGGGUAAGCUCUUCAUUUUAAGAAACAGUAGUAAUUUAGGUUAAAUUAAAAUUGCUCAUUGGUCAGUUAUGACCAGAUUGUUUUUUUAUGUUUGGCAAAAAGGGCUUAAGUCAGAAUUGCACAUUGAUAAUGUUUUGAUGAAAUCUGGACCAGAAAAAAACUGUUGUAGAUGUAAACUGUAUGUACAGUAGAAUCUACUACAGUACUGUAGAAAUCAUCAAAACAUUAUCGAUGUGCAAUUCUGACUUAAGCCCUUUUUCCCAAACAUCAGAGAAUUGUAAUGUACAAUAAUUCUCCUAUCUGCUUUUUCAUGAAUUUUGUACGAGACGAAAAACCAUUUUUAGGAUCAUCUGCUUUCACAUGUAAAUUUUGACAUGUUUUGUAGUAAAUAGAUAGUUGAAUUUACUACAAAACAUGUCAAAAAAUAUAUGAAAACAGGAGGUGACUAUAAAAAAAGUUUUUAGUCUCUCUUACAAAACUCAUGAAAAACAAAUCGGAGAUAUGUCACAUCGGUGACUAUAUCCAGGGAAUGUCUAAAAAAUAUACUUUGAUGUCCCAAGAACCAAAUAUAACCUACAGUCCAUCUAAUUUACUUACCGUUGCACGUCAUUAUCUACGCCAGAGAUCUAAGUUGACAUAGUUGCCAAAGUAUAAAAAGAUCCUGAAUCCAUUUUAAAUCAAAUUUAUCACAUAAUUAUUGUAAACGUGGAUUAUACAACAAAACAAAUUAAUAUUCAAUGUAAAUAAGUAAAAACUUAAGAAAUAGAGAACAAGAAUUAAGUUAUAAUCUUUUAAGAUUUGCAGUGCAAGCGUUUUUGCACUGCAUUGUUAAUAAUUAAAAAACGGCAACUCUUGGCAAAAAGCCGGUAGGUUUCUUUGUAUAAGUAUGUCUACAAUAACAACUAAAAAAGUUGUCAGAUACCUCGAUUAUUCCAAGUCGUUAUAAAAUUAGGUGAAAUUUAUAUUUUUAUAGUAGAGGAUCUUUUUAUAGUAAAGUAAAUAAUAAAAACAGUAAAUAUAAUAAAUAAAACAGAUACUUAUAGUAAAGAAUAUAAACAAAUAUGAAGUGUCAUCACCGCAACUGUCAAAUAAAUGUUACCAAUUUAUUCUAAAAUGUCACCUUCGUUCGAUUACAGUUACAGUGUGAUCCGAACAAAUCUGCUUCAUAAAAACGCUUUAUAAUCCAUUUAUACAAAUUAAAUGAAACAUAUUAUUGUGUAUUUCUUUAGGUUAACAUUAAUAGAAAUCUUCAAAUAUUAUUUCUACGCGUAUAUAAUAAAAUAUGUCUAGUGGCUGUAAUUCCAGUGUACUCGGCAAAGUGAUUCUAAAAAAGAACACACCUACCGCCUAAAUAUUUCGUGUUGGUAUCAUGCGACGUCACAGGCUACGACGCGGAUGACGCGCGACAGUCAGUAAAUUAGACGAAAUAUGUAGAUAUAUACAGGGUGUAACAAAAAUACAGGUCAUAAAUUUAAUCACAUAUUCUGGGACCAAAAAUAGUUUGAUUGGACCUAACUUACCUUAGUACAAAUGUGCACACAAGAAAAGUUACAGCCCUUUGAUGUUAUAUAUUAUAUAUAUAAUAGCACUAAGGGCCUUAGAGGCCCAUGGCUUGAAAAGUUUGUUUUUUUUUCUCUUCAUUUUCACGUUUCUUUAUGUACUGAGAUCUUCUCUGGCUUGAUAUGUGAUUUUUCUUCAUUCCUUCCUGUUAUUCAUUUUUCUUUUCUGACCCUGUAGCACCAUUCUUUCCAAAUCUUUUUCGACCUCUUGCUUCCAUCUAUUUUUCGGCCUUCCUCUUCUCUUUCUUGAAGCUGUAGUAUAGUUUAGUACCCUUUUUGGAUUCCUCGUGUUUGGCAUCCUUUCAAUGUGACCUCGCCAUCUAAGUCUCUGUGCCUUUAUCACUCAUUUGAAGUUACAAGAUGAAGUGAUUUUUUCCAAUAUAUCGAAAACUAUUAGAGAUUUUUUAUUGAAAAUGGACAUGUGGCAUUAUUAUGGCAGCAGUAUCUUACGAAAAAACUAUAGUAAAAUUUGGACACCCCAUAAAAAUUUUAUAGGGGUUUUGUUCCUAUAAACCCCCCCCCCCCCCAAACUUUUGUGCAUGUUUCAAUUUAAUUAUUAUUGUAGUACCAUUUAAACACGUUUUAAAAACUUUUUUGCCUCUUAUUGCUUUUUCGAAAAGUCAAUUUUUAUCGAAAUAUUUUGAAUAUUUGUCAAAUCCACCACAUAUUUGUAUAUGGUUAAGUACGAUUAUGGAGACUUAAUAAUAAUAUGCAGACUUAUUUAUGCUUUACAUUUUUAGGUAUAUUUUGAACCAUAGUAAAAAAAAAGCCAGAUCUCGAUAAAACGUGCCUUAUCGAAAAAAUACAAAGAGGCAAAAAUGUUUUAAAAACAUUCUGUUUAACUAAUGGUACCUCAGUAAUAGUUUAAUUGGAACGUACACAAAGACAUGUUAAAAAAGAAGUCGCAACUCGAUAAAAACUGCCUUAUCUGAAAAAUACUAAGAAACAAAAAUAUUGAAUUUAACUAAUGGUACCACAAUAAUAAAAUUGAAUUGGAACGUACACAAAAGUUUGGGAGGAUCUAAGGGAUCAAAACCCCCAUAAAAUUUUUAUGGGGUGCACAAAUUUCACCAUAAUUUUUCUUUAAGAUAUUCCUGCCAUAAUAAUGUCACAUGUCCAUUUUCAAUAAAAAAUCGCUAAUAGUUUUCGAUAUAAUCGAAAAAAUCUAUUUUCAUUUUGUAAUUUCAAAGGGCUGUAACUUUUUUUAUGUGCAUAUUUGUACUAAGGUAAGUUAGGUUCAUUCGAACUAUUUUUGGUCCCAGAAUAUGUGAUUUAAUUUAUGACCUGUAUUUUUGUUACACCCUGUAUAUACAGCCCAUUACGCACCACCUUAAAAAUUGGGCAUUUUUGAUGUCUCGAAUUUCCUAAACAUGUUGUUGCAUCUAAGUGAUUUUUUUUAUAAUAUUCUAGCCUAGGCCCUAGGCUAUAGGUUAAGUACCUCCUUAUGCUUGUCAUGCACGGGGAGCUAUACUGUAAUAUAUAUUAUAUCACAUCGCUCUCUAUAGUAAUGAGUGAGCCUGCACAUACGGAACCAUUUGUUUCCUGUCUGCAGGCUCACUCAUUACUAUAGAGAGCGAUAUGAUAUAAUGUACAUAUAUUACAGCAUAGCUCCCUGUGCAUGACAAGCUUAAGGAGGUAACCUAUAGCCUAGGCUAUAAUAUUAUUAAAAAAAUCACUUAGAUGAAACAACAGGUUUAGGAAAUACGAGACAUCAAAAAUACCUCAUAUUUAAGGUGGUGCGUUAAUUUCUUGGAGAAGUGUAUUGUAAUUUAAUGUAAAUAAUGUAAUAUCCAAUAAUUGUAAUUUAAUAUAAGAUGUAAUAUAAGUUCCUUAAAAAAUAUAUUUUUUAUUUCCCACGACAUUAGAUGGAUGUUCGGCAGCAAGACAUUGGACCAAACUGGGACGUCCUAUGAAGGCCCAAUUGACGUCCACCGAAUGUCCCUUCGGAUGUUAAGUGGACCUCCAUUGAACGUUUGGCAACGUGG